GAAGAGGUGGCAGGGAGGGAGGAGGCAGGUACUGGCACUGUCUCCUUGGCAAGAGAAGUGUAUUUCGAGUUGUUGUCUUAGCAGAGGAGUUCUGUGCAGCAGCGACGAUGUCUGGCGGAGACUCAGCAGUGGUGGAGAGUGAGUGUGGGGUUCUGGAGAACUUGGGCUCGAUGAGGUAAGCAUUAUGAGGAGGAAGAAGAGGAGGAUGCCCUACCUGACUCGGAUGUCAUGCCAGAUUCAGAUGACGAGGUGGAUUUGGAUAAGCCACGCCCCAUACAGAUUGUUCUCGCUCAUGAAGAUGACCAUAACUUUGAGUUAGAUGAAGAAGCAUUGGAAAAAAUCUUGCUUCAGGAACACAUCAAAGAUCUUAACAUAGUAGUUGUGUCUGUAGCAGGAGCUUUCCGCAAAGGAAAAUCUUUUCUGCUGGACUUCAUGCUUAGAUACAUGUAUAACAGGACUUCUCCUUGCUGGAUAGGUGGAAACACUGAGCCUUUGACUGGGUUUACAUGGAGAGGUGGAUGUGAACGGGAAACCACUGGCAUCCAGAUCUGGAGUGAAGUGUUUGUAAUUGAUAAACCCAAUGGAACAAAGGUAAGUGCUUGAUUUAAAGAUGUAUUUAGUGAUUUUUGCCUCUGGGUGAAGAGUUUUAAUGCCAUGGGUUUUGUGGAGGCAAUUCAACAUCAGCUGGUUCCUUUCUAUUUACUGGCUGUGUAAUGCAUUUGGAAACCUUAUAUCAGUGCAGGUGUGUGGUUUCCUGCUGGUAUUCAAUCUUCAACAAUAGUCCCAUUUUAAAAUUACUUUGGCGAAGCCUGUUUUGUCCUGGCCAAUAGGUGGGUUAUCCUGUGAAUGUUUUAAAACUACGUUGGUUAUAAAUACUGUGCAUAGACAAGUGCUGUGAUAAGAACAGCUCUAACAAAUACUGCUUUUUGAGUUGAGAUGUGCUCUGGCUUGUAACUGUUCUGGCGACGUGUAGCACAUAGCUGUAAGCACUAGAAAUGCAGCUUCAGUGACUAGAAGCUGGUUGUUCUGCAUAGUUCAUCAGCUGGCUCAUAAAAACAGAAAGCACAUCUACUUCUGGGCAAAUGCUUUAUAUACUAACUAUACUUAUCAAAACUGGUGCACCUUUGAACUCUAAAUUGCUGUAACUACAGCGUUUGAUUUCAGAUGUUUAUUUUCAUACUGAAACAGUCUCAGUGUUGUCAGUACUUACUCCCUAACAUCAGCACUGUAUUCUUAACUGUUCUCCUGAACUGUAAACUUUUACUUAACUUCCAUAGUCCUUAUAUCGCUAAAGUGCAAUGGGAGCAUUUGAUGAUUAAUUAGUAUGGGAAGCUGAUCUUAAACAGCUAGUAAUUUAGAGGGCUGCAGUGGGUUUUACCAUGUUUUCGAGCUAACCAUGCAGUUCUCUGGCUAGAAAAGCAGUUGAGUUAUGAGGAUCUGUUGGUGCUCUGAAAAAAAAAAAAACUUAUUUAUUAUUGCUUAUUUGUUGUCUGCAACUGA